rnacentral:rRNA from 1 species
UACAGAGGGGGCAAGCGUUAUUCGGAAUUAUUGGGCGUAAAGGGCGCGUAGGCGGCUUGGCAAGUGGAAGGUGAAAUCCCUCGGCUUAACCGAGGAACUGCCCUCCAAACUGCUUGGCUUGAGACCGGGAGAGGUGAGUGGAAUUCCCAGUGUAGCGGUGAAAUGCGCAGAUAUCAGGAGGAACACCGGUGGCGAAGGCGGUGGGCUGGGCCGGCACUGACGCUGAGGAGCGAAAGCGUGGGGAGCGAACAGG